rnacentral:tRNA from 1 species
GGUGGUGUAGCUCAGUGGCAGAGCACUUGCCUGGUCUGCAGGCAAGGCCCUGGGUUCAAUCCCCAGCACUACAA